rnacentral:rRNA from 1 species
UGCUAGUUGUGCGGGUUUAGGCCCGCAGCGCGAAAGCUCAGUAACACGUGGCCAAACUACCCUGUGGAUGGGAACAAUCUCGGGAAACUGAGGCUAAUUCCCAAUAACGCUCCGCCCCUGGAACGGGCGGAGCUGGAAACGCUACGGCGCCACAGGAUGUGGCUGCGGUCGAUUAGGUAGACGGUGGGGUAACGGCCCACCGUGCCAAUAAUCGGUACGGGUUGUGAGAGCAAGAGCCCGGAGACGGAAUCUGAGACAAGAUUCCGGGCCCUACGGGGCGCAGCAGGCGCGAAACCUUUACACUGUACGCAAGUGCGAUAAGGGGACUCCGAGUGUGAAGGCAUAGAGCCUUCACUUUUGUACACCGUAAGGUGGUGUACGAAUAAGGGCUGGGCAAGACCGGUGCCAGCCGCCGCGGUAAUACCGGCAGCCCGAGUGAUGGCCGAUAUUAUUGGGCCUAAAGCGUCCGUAGCUGGUCGGACGAGUCCAUUGGGAAAUCUGUUCGCUUAACGAGCAGGCGUCCAGUGGAAACUGUUCUGCUUGGGACCGGAAGACCUGAGGGGUACGUCCGGGGUAGGAGUGAAAUCCUGUAAUCCUGGACGGACCACCGGUGGCGAAAGCGCCUCAGGAGGACGGAUCCGACAGUGAGGGACGAAAGCUAGG